GUGGCCCCAUGGUGAGCAUUCCAAGUGCAGGGCUGUCGGAUGCUCACUGCCCUGAUGUGCUGAUGGUGCAUUUGUUUACCAGAAGGGAUCCAGGUGAGGGGAGGGCCUCAGCCCCUCUCAGCCCGCCUCCUGCCUCCCCGCACCUCCUGGAAAACCUGAACCGCUUGCAUUCAUAGUCAGCAGGUGCUCCCUUUGUCAUGCGACAGGAGAAGGACCUCAGCCUGCACCUUCAGGCCCCUCCAGCCCCUCCACAAGGGAUUUCCACCAGAAAGUUUAAAGCUCACAUAAGGAUCUGAGCCUCUCCCAAGAGAAUGGCGAAAUAAACACAAGCUGUUAUUGGCGUCAUCUCAGUAUUGAUCAGGGCUCAUAACUGCUUAAUUCUUCAUUUUUAUCAAGUCUUCCCAAACUCCCAACCAUCUUCAGUGCUUGGGCAUUUCGGCUUCGUGUUGAAACGAGGUUGGUGCAGCAGCUGUUUCUGCAUCAGGGGCUGCAUCUCCCACCUCCCUUGGUUAUGAGCAGACUCUCAGCCCCUCCUGUGUUCUCUUCUCCAUGGCUAAUCUGCAGCUGAUGGUUUGGUUUCCAGAGAUACAACAGAGCUUUCCUGAGUCCAUUAGAAACCCAUUAUUUAGGGCGGUCACCCCUACUUCCUUCCAGAACCCUCACCCCGCUGACCACAAAGAUCCCUUAUCAGGAAAGUUGGUGUUUGGUUUCCUGAGGGGGAAAAAGCCCAUCUACAUCCAGAAAUGACUCCAUGUGCCACCCUCGGAAGGAAGGCCUUCCUGUUUGGAUGCAGGAGGGCAACGUCACUGCUUGCACAAGGCCCUGUCUCAACUCCAAACUCACCUGUCAGCCAACAGAGCUCUCCAAGUCCUGGCAGGGAAAGCAAGAGGGAAAGAAAACAAUCUCUGAGUCCUUCAAAGACAGAGCUCUCUUUACGACUACGAUUUCCAGCAAUCGAUCACUUAUUUUCAAUAAGCAAGCCUCUUAUUCCACCCUUCUAUGCACGAACCCCCAAAAUAAACUGCGCUAGUCAUUAACGCCCCCUCCCCCGUUCUUGUUCUCAUCUUUUCCAGUGCUGACUUGAGUUUCUUUUUUAACGUGG
rnacentral:lncRNA from 1 species